UAACUCAAAUUCAUUGUCUGUCAUGUUAACUUUAUUUUGAAGGUAUCUUUCCGAUUUUUUUGUUUCCUUUAAAGAUCAAUGCUUUUAUUUUUGAAAGUUACAAACCGGAAGUUGAAAGGUUCGAAGGCACGUGAAGGCUGAAUGAAUGAACGUCUUUAUUUUAUUACAAGUAAAUGAAGCACCUGGUUGAAGGAGGCAUAAGCUCUUACGGUGUGUUCACUAUGUUCAUGGAUGUGGAAGGAAAAAUUCUAAAUAAAACUAUGUGAACCAUCA